rnacentral:rRNA from 1 species
UACGUAGGGUGCAAGCGUUGUCCGGAAUUAUUGGGCGUAAAGAGCUCGUAGGCGGUCUGUCACGUCGGCUGUGAAAUCCCGAGGCUCAACCUCGGGUCUGCAGUCGAUACGGGCAAACUAGAGUAUUGCAGGGGAGACUGGAAUUCCUGGUGUAGCGGUGAAAUGCGCAGAUAUCAGGAGGAACACCGGUGGCGAAGGCGGGUCUCUGGGCAAUAACUGACGCUGAGGUGCGAAAGCGUGGGGAGCAAGCAGG